CACGUAGGGCGCGAGCGUUGUCCGGAAUUAUUGGGCGUAAAGAGCUCGUAGGCGGCCUGUUGCGUCCGCUGUGAAAGCCCGGGGCUUAACCCCGGGUCGGCAGUGGAUACGGGCAGGCUAGAGGUAGGCAGGGGAGAAUGGAAUUCCCGGUGUAGCGGUGAAAUGCGCAGAUAUCAGGAGGAACACCAAUUGCGAAGGCAGCUCGCUGGGACGUAACUGACGCUGAGACGCGAAAGCGUGGGGAGCAAACAGG
rnacentral:rRNA from 1 species